rnacentral:rRNA from 1 species
UCAGGGGUAGCAAUACACCGGCGGACGGGUGCGUAACGCGUACACAACAUACCUUUAAGCGGGGGAUAGCAUUGGGAAACUGGUGGUAAUACCCCAUAACAUUGCGUUUCGGCAUUGGAAUGCAAUUAAAGUUUUGGCGCUUAGAGAUUGGUGUGCGUCUGAUUAGCUAGUUGGCGGGGUAACGGCCCACCAAGGCGACGAUCAGUAGGGGGUGUGAGAGCAUGACCCCCCACAUGGGUACUGAGACACGGACCCAACUCCUACGGGAGGCAGCAGUAAGGAAUAUUGGACAAUGGGCGGAAGCCUGAUCCAGCCAUGCCGCGUGAAGGAUGAAGGCGCUCAGCGUUGUAAACUUCUUUUGGAUGGGGACAAUAACUUUCAUUUAUGAGAGCUUGAGGGUACCAUCAGAAUAAGCACCGGCUAACUCCGUGCCAGCAGCCGCGGUAAUACGGAGGGUGCAAGCGUUAUCCGGAAUCACUGGGUUUAAAGGGUGCGUAGGCGGUCAGAUAAGUCAGUCGUGAAAUUCUCCGGCUUAACCGGGUGGACUGCGAUUGAUACUGUUUGACUUGAAUGAGGUUGAGGUAGGCGGAAUGUGGCAUGUAGCGGUGAAAUGCUUAGAUAUGCCAUAGAACACCGAUUGCGAAGGCAGCUUGCUGGGCCUUCAUUGACGCUGAGGCACGAAAGCGUGGGGAGCAAACAG